UACAGAGGUCUCAAGCGUUGUUCGGAUUCACUGGGUUUAAAGGGUGCGUAGGCGGGCAGGUAAGUCAGAGGUGAAAUCUCCGGGCUUAACCCGGAAACUGCCUUUGAUACUAUCUGUCUUGAAUAUGGUGGAGGUAAGCGGAAUAUGUCAUGUAGCGGUGAAAUGCUUAGAGAUGACAUAGAACACCCAUUGCGAAGGCAGCUUACUACGCCUAUAUUGACGCUGAGGCACGAAAGCGUGGGGAUCAAACAGG
rnacentral:rRNA from 1 species